rnacentral:rRNA from 1 species
GAUGAACGCUGGCGGCGUGCCUAAUACAUGCAAGUCGAGCGAAUGGAUUAAGAGCCUGCUCUUAUGAAGUUAGCGGCGGACGGGUGAGUAACACGUGGGUAACCUGCCCAUAAGACUGGGAUAACUCCGGGAAACCGGGGCUAAUACCGGAUAACAUUUUGAACCGCAUGGUUCGAACUUGAAAGGCGGCUUCGGCUGUCACUUAUGGAUGGAGCCGCGUCGCAUUAGCUAGUUGGGGAGGUAACGGCUCACCAAGGCAACGAUGCGUAGCCGACCUGAGAGGGUGAUCGGCCACACUGGGACUGAGACACGGCCCAGACUCCUACGGGAGGCAGCAGUAGGGAAUCUUCCGCAAUGGACGAAAGUCUGACGGAGCAACGCCGCGUGAGUGAUGAAGGCUUUCGGGUCGUAAAACUCUGUUGUUAGGGAAGAACAAGUGCUAGUUGAAUAAGCUGGCACCUUGACGGUACCUAACCAGAAAGCCACGGCUAACUACGUGCCAGCCGCCGCCGUAA